UUAAUGAGAAUAUAAAGCUAGGGUAAUGACCAAAGUUACUUCACAACCUCAGUAAUUGUGCUUUUGAGACAUUCAGCAACAGCCUGUCUGCAACAGAGUUAGUGCAUCAUGAUUGAUUCUCUGGCUUUUGUGUACACACAGUAGCUUUUAACCAGGAAAUAACAAAGUCUGUGCUUUGAAUAUUUGUUCAUUUUUAUAUUGGACACCUCCACUGACACAAAAACUUAUGCAAUCAGCAUUUUUUAAGUUGAUCAUUACUUUAAAAUUAUCAAAUGAAAAUUCAACACAUAGUGAUUUACAGUUGAACUAAUGUAUGAAAGUACUGAAGUUCGGGGUUGUGUAACAUACUUCCUACACUUUGUGCUGAAUCUAGCCCAAGAUCUUUUUUGGGCAAUAUUUCCUUUUAUCUGGGUCUGAUGGUGUAGCUACACUAAACUAUGUUACAGUGCAGUAAUGACUCAAAUAUUCUUCUCUGUCUUUAGUGUCCCGGAAAAAGUUCUUUGUCAUCUUGGCGGGAAAAACUGAUGAUGCUCAUCUUGAGUUUGUGGCAAAGCUUGAAAGCAUUGGCCAUACUGAGGUGAACUCCCCAGAAGAAAGUGACUACCUUCUGGUUUUCUGUCAUGUUGCUUCAAGAGUUGGAACAGACGUCAGCGAGGCCCUGGAGAAACUUCCAGGUGAUAAACCAGCAAUUCUGGUCGUGAUGCAUCACACCUUCAACCCUGACCAAGUUCUAGCUGAAAGCAGAAGACUAGUGGACAACCCCAAUGUUGAGCUUACUGUGGACUGUCUGUUCUAUGAGGGCAAACUCCUGAAGUCCAACAGAAAUGAUACUGCAUGGUUUGAUGUCCAGAAGUAUCUUGGAGUUUCCAAGGUAAUGACUAGAUUUACUGAUCUAAUACUAUCACACAAAUCCCGGGGGAGUGCACUGGUAUUGUGAUAAAAAGGGGUAAGGGAUCAUUACUGUAGUCCACCACUGAUGCAUCAUGCAGUUUCAUUAAUUAUUUUAUGUUCUUACUUUCUUUCUUUCUUUCUUUAGGUCUCCACUUUUCGAACCAUGUUCAAUAGUAAGUGUGACAUCAAUCAUGAACUUCAGAUUUCAGGUCAGAGUUUUUCUAGUCUAUCUUCUUCACUUUCCUUUGAAUUAAGGGAUAUUGAUGUUGGUAUUAUUAAUCUUAUAAUACCAAUCAUUUCUCGUUGCUGUAAUCACUUCUCCUGUCAAUGCUAGAUUUUAAUGUAAGUGAUGGGGAACAAAAUAAUUUAAUGAGAAUAUAAAGCUAGGGUAAUGACCAAAGUAACUUCACAACCUCAGUAAUUGUGCUUUUGAGACAUUCAGCAACAGCCUGUCUGCAACAGAGUUAGUACUUCAUGAUUGAUUAUCUGGCUUUUGUGUACACACAUUAGCUUUUAACCAGGAAAUAACAAAGUCUGUGCUUUGAAGAUUUGUUCAUUUUUAUAUUGGACACCUCCACUGACACAAAAACUUAUGCAAUCAGCAUUUUUUAAGUUGAUCAUUAUUUUAAAAUUAUCAAAUGAAAAUUCAACACAUAGUGAAUUACAGUUGAACUAAUGUAUGAAAGUUCUGAAGUUCGGGGUUGUGUAACAAACCAAUUUGUGCUGAAUCUAGCACAAGAUGUUUUUUGGGCAAUAUUUCCUUUUAUCUGGGUCUGAUGGUGUAGCUACACUAAACUAUGUUACAGUGCCGUAAUGACUCCAAUAUUCCUCAAUGUCUUUAGUGUCCCAGAAAAAGUUCUUUGUCUUCUUGGCGGGAAAAACUGAUGAUGCUCAUCUUGAGUUUGUGGCAAACCUUAAAAGCAUUGGUCAUACUGAGGUGAACUCUCCAGAAGAAAGUGACUACCUUCUGGUUUUCUGUCCUGUUGCUUCAAGAGUUGAAAGGGACGUCAACGAGGCCCUGGAAGACCUUCCAGGUAGGAAAUGGCUUUAUUUCACAAUGAUUAGUUAAAGGAAUAUGGGGAAAUUUGAUCCAUCAGUUGAAAAGUUUUUAAUUUUGAUUUGAAUUCAAUUUACCAUAGUGUUUGCUUUUGUACAGGUUCUAAUUGGACUUGCAGUGUCUCUAUUUUUAGCAGUUCCCUAAAAUUAAACUGUUAUAAAUGCAGGACUUGGCGUCCAUGUUUGAUGACACAUUUUUUUCAUCAAAUACAUUUUCCAUGUAAUGAGUGUU
rnacentral:lncRNA from 1 species